GUUCCCUUGGGAAGAGUCAGUGUGGUUUGUGGAAAACCAGUGGCACCAAAUCUCAUAGAACUGAAACCCUGAGAAAUCAAGUUGCUGUGUAGAGAAUAGCAAUGUGGCCUAGAAUUCAUUGCCCAGUCCACUGAGGGCAGUCCUCUGUCUACUACAUAAGGAUAUUUGUUUGGCUUAAAAAAAAAUUCAGAUUAUUUUCUUCUAUGGAGAAACGACCAUACCUUGAGACAUAGAAGUAAUUUUCUUCCAUGAAGUUUGGCAGACAUUCAAGUUCCAGGGCUCUGACUCCUCAUUCUGAGAUAAUUCCAUGGCACAGAUUCAAGAUGUUCACUAUUACUAUUACCAUAUUUUUCAUUCUCCUUCCUAAGAACAUAAUGCAAUGAUUAAAAAAUCCUGAG